UACGUAGGGUGCGAGCGUUGUCCGGAAUUAUUGGGCGUAAAGGGCUCGUAGGCGGUUUGUCGCGUCGGGAGUGAAAUCCACUGGCUUAACUGGUGGCUUGCUUUCGAUACGGGCAGACUGGAGGUAUGCAGGGGAGAACGGAAUUCCUGGUGUAGCGGUGAAAUGCGCAGAUAUCAGGAGGAACACCGGUGGCGAAGGCGGCAUCCUGGACCGGUAUUGACGCUGAGGCGCGAAAGCUAGGGGAGCAAACGGG
rnacentral:rRNA from 1 species